GAUCAAGUAAAAAAGGGCGCACGGUGGAUGCCCUGGCACUAGGAGCCGAUGAAGGACGUGAUAAGCUGCGAUAAGCUGCGGGUAGAUGCAAAUAAUCUGUGAUCCG
rnacentral:ncRNA from 1 species